GUGCUAACACCAUGGUUUGCUGGCAACUUGAAUCCUUCCUACAAACACAGGUCAGGUUGUGUGCUACCCAGAUCUUCUAUCCAUUCUGAGCCAUCCUAUGCUGGAUCCCUGUGCCCGAAGAGGAAUUCCACAUCGCCCCAACACACCUGCUGCAGCUCACUGCAACCUCCCUAGGUUCACACUGUGCUGUAGAAUGGACGCUUUCCCACAACCAGCUGGCCCAGGCUGCCAUUCCCACCCAUUCCCACCUGCCCUUGGAUGAGACUUGUCUACUGGUGGUCUCCAACAUGGGCAGGGGCCAAGAGGAGCUGGAGGCCCGAGGGUCCUAUUCUGGUCCCAGGGCUUGGGGAUACCCACCACCGUGGGCUAGCAGGAGGAUGGACGUGGACUUGAUCCCAAGAGCCUGGCC
rnacentral:lncRNA from 1 species